CAGCCGUGGGCGGGACAUCGUGCUGUUGAUUGGUGGGCUGGAGCCCCAGAGAAAGGCUAGUGGUGCUAGUGGUGUUGCCGUCGGGGAGACAGCAGGAAGUCGAGCUAGUCAAUGGUAGAGAGAGCAACAGGAAAUGUGUGGGUAGACCGCAGCAGUGUCUGUGUAGCUCUGGACGACGUCAGGGGCCGUGGUCGCCUCUCUUAAUUCAACAGACAAAGCAGCAGAAAGGCUGAACAACACCGGGAGAAAACCAGAACUGAGUGGUUCUGAAGAGGAAGAUGUUCAUCCCAGUACCUCCAGCACCCUGUAACCCAAACUCCCUCCAGCCCCAGACAGAGCCUAUAGAUAUGUCCACCAGCCGCUCCAGGACCCCUCCAACACCCACAGGGGUCUCACUGUUUCCCCUACCAUCCACCUCCAUCACCAAGCCUUCUUCAGCAUCAUCAUCAUCAUCAUCAUCAUGUGUCAUUACGUCUGUCCCAGAGACUCCUGCUAUAUCAGUGGCAGGUCCCGGCAGGAGGGUCCUUUCUGGUUUUGUCAGAGGUUAUCCCCUGUCCCCCAGCCCUGCUCCUCUCCACGCCCGCCCUGCGCCCGUAGUGGUGCGUCCCACACCCCUGCUCCACACCCACCCAGCACACAGCGAGACCCUGGUGGCACCCCUGCUCCACACCCACCCAGCGCACAGCGAGACCCUGGUGGCACCCCGACGUCCACAUCACCACAGUGACAGCCGGGAUGAUGAGCUGCCGACCAUGAGACCGGACAGCAUGACAGAGAUGGGACGGGCUGGAACCAGAGUGGG